AUUGAACGCUGGCGGCAUGCUUUACACAUGCAAGUCGAACGGCAGCGCGGGGGCAACCCUGGCGGCGAGUGGCGAACGGGUGAGUAAUGCAUCGGAACGUAUCCUGUAAUGGGGGAUAACGUAGCGAAAGUUACGCUAAUACCGCAUACGCUCGAGAGAGGAAAGUGGGGGAUCGCAAAGACCUCACGUUAUAGGAGCGGCCGAUGUCCGAUUAGCUAGUUGGUGGGGUAAAGGCCUACCAAGGCGACGAUCGGUAGCUGGUCUGAGAGGAUGAUCAGCCACACUGGGACUGAGACACGGCCCAGACUCCUACGGGAGGCAGCAGUGGGGAAUUUUGGACAAUGGGCGAAAGCCUGAUCCAGCCAUGCCGCGUGCGGGAAG
rnacentral:rRNA from 1 species